AAUGAACGCUGGCGGCAGGCUUAACACAUGCAAGUCGAGCGGAGCGAGGGUGCUUGCACCUUAGCUUAGCGGCGGACGGGUGAGUAAUGCUUAGGAAUCUGCCUAUUAGUGGGGGACAACAUUCCGAAAGGGAUGCUAAUACCGCAUACGCCCUACGGGGGAAAGCAGGGGAUCUUCGGACCUUGCGCUAAUAGAUGAGCCUAAGUCGGAUUAGCUAGUUGGUGGGGUAAAGGCCUACCAAGGCGACGAUCUGUAGCGGGUCUGAGAGGAUGAUCCGCCAUACUGGGACUGAGACACGGCCCAGACUCCUACAGGAGGCAGCAGUGGGGAAUAUUGGACAAUGGGGGGAACCCUGAUCCAGCCAUGCCGCGUGUGUGAAGAAGGCCUUUUGGUUGCAAAGCACUUUAAGCGAGGAGGAGGCGCUCUAGGAUAAUACCCUAGAUGCGUGGACGUUACUCGCAGAAUAAGCACCGGCUAACUCUGUGCCAGCCGCCGCCGUAACAC
rnacentral:rRNA from 1 species